rnacentral:rRNA from 1 species
AAGUAAAUAAUUAUUGAUUAUAUUGUAUAAAAUAGAUUUUUAAUAUAAAUAAAUUUAAAUUUAAUAUUUUUUGUAUUAUUUAAAGAUAAAAUAAUUUUUAUUAUAGUAAAGUAGUAUUGAUAAAGAAUUUUGAAAAAUUAAUUAUUUAAUGUAAAGUAAUAUUAAUUUUAUGUACCUUUUGUAUCAGGGUUUAUUAAUUAAAUAUUAAGGAUUUAAUAAUUCUCGAAUUAAAAGGAGCUAAUUUAGUAUGAUAGUUUAUGUAUUAUAAUAAUUAUAAAUAUUAAAUUAGAAAUGAAACGUUAUUCGUCUUUUAAGAUAUCUAGUUUUUUAAGAAAUAAAUUUAAUUUACAUAUUAAUAAUAUAAUAUUUUUUAUUUAAAAAUUAAUUAUUUAUAAAUAUGAAUAUAUUAAGGGAUAAGCUUUAAUUUAUUGAAUUAUAAUUUUAUAAAUGUAAAAAUUAAUUGUAGAUUUAGAAAUAGUUAUCAAUAAAAAUUUUGUAUUAAUUUAUAAAUAUUAUUUAAUGUUUUAUAAAAUUUAAUUUUAGUAUUAAAAUAUAUUUUUUAAUAAUAAAAAUUUAGUAAUAAUGAUGGAAUUAGUAUAUAUUAUUUAUUUAUUUUAUAAUUUAAAUAAAAUUAAUUUAAGGAAUUCGGCAAAAAUAAUAUUCACCUGUUUAACAAAAACAUGUCUUUUAGAAAAAAAUUUAAAGUCUAACCUGCCCACUGAAUUAUUUUGAAGGGCCGCAGUAUUUUGACUGUGCAAAGGUAGCAUAAUCAUUAGUCUUUUAAUUGAGGGCUUGUAUGAAUGGUUGGAUGAAAUAUUAACUGUCUCAAAUUAAUAAAAUAGAACUUAAUUUUUAAGUUAAAAAGCUUAAAUAUAAUUAGAGGACGAGAAGACCCUAUAGAUCUUAAUAUUUUUAUUUUUAAUUUUUAUUUAGAUAAAAAAAUAUUUUUAAUAAUAGUAAUAUUUUAUUGGGGUGAUAACUAAAUUUAGUUAACUUUAUUUAAUAAAAACAUUAAUUUAUGAAUAAUUGAUCCAUUAUUAGUGAUUAGAAGAUUAAGUUACCUUAGGGAUAACAGCGUAAUUUUUUUAGAGAGUUCUUAUCGAUAAAAAAGUUUGCGACCUCGAUGUUGAAUUAAAGAUUAAUUUAGGUGCAGUAGUUUAAAUGUUUGGUCUGUUCGACCAUUAAAUCUUUACAUGAUUUGAGUUCAAACCGGCGUGAGCCAGGUUGGUUUCUAUCCUUAAUAAAAUAAAAUAUUUUAGUACGAAAGGACCAAAUAUUAAAAAAAGUUUUUUUUAUAAGAAUAAUAUUAAU